rnacentral:hammerhead_ribozyme from 1 species
AUUUAGCUAAUGAGUUCCAAAUAGGAUGAAACGCGCGUCCUGAAU